AUUGCAUUGUAGAAUGGCCUUAAGUGUAGAACUAGCAAAGGAAGCGUAUUAACUUGCGGAAUUAGUAGUCGACGAAAUUGUAUAAAUAGAGUCUACGGAGUCUAGAAGUCUAUAUAGAUAUGUUAGCCUUAGUGAGAAAGUUGUGUAUUGAUUCAAGUAGUUUAGGAUGCAUGUAGUUUAGGUAAGAAGUGAUAGAGUAUGUAACAGGGAGCUUAGCUUUACGAAUAGAAAGAAGUAGUUUAGUUCUGAGAGGAGAAAAACGGCGACAAUGCCAUAAAACAUGAUCGACCGUUUCGGAGCCCCUGCCACAUGGACAUCGAUCGGAGCACACGAUGCCUUUACGAUGGAGGCUUUCGGCCAAGGAAUGGUGAUUGACUCUAAUUCUGGUGAAAGUAGUUAUAACGGAGCGACUUAAGUUUGUGCGUGAAAACCAAGACGUUUUGGCUAUGAAAUAACAGUGGUUGAAGUAGAAAAGACCUUUUAGAUCGUGAUGGUUUGAAUAAAAUGCUAGACAGGCUUCUGACGCCUAGUUGGAUAUAGUAGGAAGCAGUCGGAUUCCCUGAGCUUUGGAUGGAGAGACCUUCCAAUAAACUGAUACUUGGAGUAAAGUGCUGAAGUUCAUAAUCAAAAUGGGGAGGCACAAAAGAUUCGAGAGACGACGAAUCACAGGAUGAUCAGAGUCGCGAAGCGCGCGGAUUGGAGUGGACAUUCUGAAUUCCAGGCUAAGACGGAGAGCACUGUACUGAACUCGAUUAAGUUUCAUGAGUAGAUUACUGUCAAGGAGUAGAAGGGCUUGACAACCAUACUCUAGGACGCUUCUGAUCAAUGAUUUGUAUAGGAGGAGAAGGGUUGAGGGGUGUGCACCCCACCAUGUGGAUCGAAGGGCCUUGAAGAUGUUCAGUGCUCUAUUGCAUCUAUUAAUGGUUUUUUUAAGAUGGAGAGAUGGAUAGCCCUAUACUUUCCAAGUAUUGGCAAACAGAAGUAACGCUGGAUUGAACUACAUUGAGACAGUCUACUAGGUUCUUGGACCUAAAGAGGAUAAGGGCAUCAUCAGCGAAUUCCGUGGAAAUACAAUUUGGAUGAAGGGGGUUGUUGAGUUCCCUGAUAUAUAGAGAAAAGAGAAUGGGACUAAGGGUAAGGCCUUGUGGCAAGCCCUUGUGAGUGGUCCUGGGGCCAAUUAAGCCACCAUUGAAAAAGACGUUCCUUCCUGAGAUUAUAUUAUAGAUAAUACGGCAAAUGGAUUCAGGUAUACCUAUAGAACAUAAAUUAUUAAUUAGUAUAGAUGGAAUGACCUCGUCAAACGCGCCCAUAAUAUCAAGGAACACUGCGACCGUGAAUUCACCCUCAGCGAAUCCGUUGUAUACCUCAGACGACAACAGUGCUAAAUUAUCCGUGGUAGAUCUGGCCUUGCGAAAACCGAACUGCGAGGACGGAAGAAGUUAAUGGUGCUCAACCCAACAUGAGAGUCUAGCGAGGAUGAGGCGCUCAAAAAGUUUUAGCAUACAUGAAGCGAGGGCUAUGGGCCGGAAUUUUCCGCGAGUUGAUUUUGGGAUGAAGAAAACGAGAAACUGGUUUCAGCUCUCUGACAGAAUAGAGUCUUUAAGAAAGUCGUUGAAAACUGACAAGAGAGCACGACGAACAUUUGACGAGUCUAGCUCCUUUUCUGUAAAUGGAGACUCAAGGAAGGAAGAUUUCUGAAAAAGAUACGAAGCUUUAAAGCAUUUAUGCAGUGCUGAACUUGGGCAGAAGGACUCUGUUAGCUCAUGAAGUUUAUUCGAAACUUCAGUAUCCGAUGAGCAAGAAGGAUUUGGGUUGAGUUGCCUGUGACGGAAUCUCUUAACUUGGUUCCAAAUGAGGGAGAUAGAAGAGGUAAUGAAGUUCACAUGAUUAAAAGAGCGACGAAGUUGCUGGAGAGCUUGCUUUCUUGCACGAACUGCCGCAUCGCAGCUAGCAUUCCACCAAGGAGAAGGACCUUUUUUUAUCGAUCGGUUCAGUGAAGGAUUAGAAAUAGCGGUGGGACAAGCCAUUAUUAUUGAGUCUGUAAUGGUAUCAAUGAUUGUAUUGUAUCUGCCCGUAAUUGGAGAAGAAACUAAUGGUGGGGCAAGAAAGGUUGGAUUGGAUAAAGAGAAGCUUGUAGAGUCACGGAGAAUAGUUUGAAACAUGUGCCAAUCCAUGUUUUUAAGUCUGAAUUUGUGGUUAAAAAGGUCGUUGUAAGGAAAGUGAGCAUUUAACGAGAUUGAAAUUGGAAAGUGAUCGCUGCCUAAAAGAUCAUCUAAGACCUUCCAUGAGGACAAAGUGGCAAUAUUCUCUGAUGCUAGAGAUAAAUCUAGGCAAAAAGCUCGAUGAUUCGGUCUAUUGAGAAGCGUAGGUGCGAGGGGAACCCCACGCUUCAUGAUGGCAGUUGAAGUCACCGCCAAUAAAUUUAGAACUAGAGUCAGGAAGUGAGGCGAAGAAGCUGUUCCAGUCGUUUGUCUGAGAACAGAAGUUAGAUCCAGGAAUUCUAUAGACAGCGACGAUAAGCAGAGGGCUAGCAGAAAGAGGGAUGGAAACGGCUAACGAUUCUAAGUGAUGUGG